CCUCUCUCAGGGUCGUACCUGGAGAGUUUCCAGUACUCUACCAGUCUCAGCUACAAGAGGAAGAGUCGAGCAGAGGCAUCCAUUCCAUUCCUAGCUUGGGCAGCGUCUAGUGAGUGAAAGGCAAUCUAUUACAUGU